rnacentral:rRNA from 1 species
UGGGGAAUAUUGGACAAUGGGCGAAAGCCUGAUCCAGCAAUGCCGCGUGUGUGAAGAAGGCCUGCGGGUUGUAAAGCACUUUCAGGGGGGAAAAAGGAGACGGUGUUAAUAGCGCCGCGCUUUUGAUACUACCCCCAGAAGAAGCACCGGCUAACUCUGUGCCAGCAGCCGCGGUAAUACAGAGGGUGCGAGCGUUAAUCGGAAUAACUGGGCGUAAAGGGUGCGUAGGCGGAACAUUAAGUCAGAUGUGAAAUCCCCGGGCUUAACCUGGGAACUGCAUUUGAAACUGAUGUUCUAGAGUAGAGGAGAGGAGAGUGGAAUUUCAGGUGUAGCGGUGAAAUGCGUAGAUAUCUGAAGGAACACCAGUGGCGAAGGCGGCUCUCUGGCCUCAUACUGACGC